rnacentral:lncRNA from 1 species
UGCUGGUGUGAUGCUAGAUGAAGCCCUUGCUCUCUUGGGCCUCGGUCUCCUGCCUAUGAACUGAGCUGACAGUAGCACUCACCUCCUGCAGCUACUGUGUAGAGUGAACUCAUUGCUGUCAGGAGCUCGGACUGGCUUGGACAGUGCCCACCGCUGUCACCCCCAGUUGUCACUCCUCACACUGCUGGCAUCCUUGCCAACACCGAUGCCAGAGCUGUGUGGACACCGCCAGCUGCAGGCUGUGGGCACCGGGCCCCAGACACCGAGGCGGCUCUGCAGCUCCUUGCUUCGCCUUUGCUUUCUUCCUUAAUUUCUGUGCCUCUCCAGGUUUAGGGACAGCAACCAGAGGCAGGGACUCACUGCAGGGGCAAGACCUGGGCCUCCCACAGUCAGGCAGGUUGAAAUACAAGCUGGGGAGACUUCUGCCCUGAAAUCCCUGUAUACACCCCUCCGUAUCCAAGGGCCCUACUCAGCUGGUUACUACUGCGAGGGGGGCUCUGCCAGCCCCACGCCCCAGAGAAGGUCCUUUUCCCUCAACGGACCCUGCCCCGGAGGCCACUACUGCCCACAGGGGACGCUGCUCCCGGUUCCAUGCCCCGUGGGGACAAGGAGCAGCCCAGGGACAUGGUCUCCACCACGGUGUCCUCCAGGGACCUUCACUCUCCAGGAUGUAUCAGGCCUCCGGGAAGAGAGUGACUGUUCCGUCUGUCCCCCGGGUCACUACUGCAGAGGUGGACAGGUGUUGGGAAAAUGUCCUGCUGGUUACUUCUGCCCACCGGGGGCCUCUGAAGUGAGAACGUCAGGUCCCAGGCAGCCCCAGACACCGUGUCCCCAGAGACAGCUGUGCGCGGAGCAGUGUCCGCCAGGAUUUUACUGCCCUGAGGGCAGUGGAGAGCCCAUUCCUUGUCCACCUCACACACUGGUGGCUGACCCUGGAGCCAAGCAGAAAGAGGACUGUGGGCCUUGCCCCCCUGG